AGGGGCAUGUGGGUGGAUCCUUGGCCAAUCAGAGGGCAUGCUGCUCCCCCUGUCCCGCCCCCCAUGCUUGGUAGGGCGGGGCCUCUGGUUGACGCUGCAGCCAUCAUGCAUCUGGGCCUUCGUGAUCAAACCUGCACUGGGAGGAAUGUGAUUGGAAGACACAGAGGGGAUUCUGCUGCUCCCUGCAGUCCAUCACAGCCUGUGACCAUGUGAGCUGGUAACCAGCCAGGAGUGGCAGGAGGCCGCAAGGCCGUCAGACGCGGAGCAAGCGGCUGGUAGCGACCCGUGGUGAUCGGAGAGGCCGGCCCGCCCCGCCAAGCCGAAAGGGUGGGUUCUACUGGCUCAGCUACUCCGCGGGUCGAACCUUUGACAGUAGGAGCUGCCUCCACACUGCGUGGGAGGAGGACUGUCACACUGGAGGUUUUUAGCUGCAUGUCAGUGAAGCGGAGAGGGACUCCUGGCCUUUACAUCGCAGGUGCGAAGCCAGUGGCUGCCUUCCAGUGUUGCAGACAGCAUGUACAUACAGAGCGGAUUCUGGUCGCCAUGACGGGCUACAGCGGCCUGUCUGUCACUUCAAGGAGCUGGACCUGCGACCCAAAAAGAGGAAUUUCAGAAUGUGAUCAUGUGUGUCAUCUUCACGCUGGCCGAAGCUGCCUGAUCCAUCGCAGACACCCUGGGUUUGCUCCAAGGACAUACAGUAGGAAGAGAGUACAGCAGAGGGGAGGUGUUGUGAUGGC